AUGACCAUUUAAGACUCACAAGUGUCUUGAGUGUCAAACACAGGGGGGCAGAAUAAUUCUCUCAAAAACCUAAAGUAAUGGCUAUCAAAACCGUACUUUGGAUCCUGUCGGGAGAAACACAC
ensembl:snoRNA